UACGUAGGUGGCAAGCGUUGUCCGGAUUUACUGGGCGUAAAGAGCGCGCAGGCGGUCGUUCAAGUCGCGUGUGAAAGCCCCCGGCUCAACUGGGGAGGGUCACGCGAUACUGAUCGACUCGAAGGCAGGAGAGGGUAGUGGAAUUCUCGGUGUAGAGGUGAAAUUCGUAGAUAUCGAGAGGAACACCGGUGGCGAAGGCGGCCUUCUGGACAGUGACUGACGCUGAGGAACGAAAGCGUGGGAAGCGAACAGG
rnacentral:rRNA from 1 species